rnacentral:tRNA from 1 species
GGCGAAGUAGUUUAGUUGGUAGAACUUUGGAAUCAUAAUCCAAGUGUCGUGAGUUCAAUUCUCACCUUCGCCU